GCCUAGUCCGUGAUAAACCAUCAGCGAUACUGUCGUCGCCGGCCUGGCCAAAUCCCUGCGCCUCUCACGCGCGUCGCCGCCGCCCGCCGCCAUCGCCGCCAGUUCCCGUUCUACUUCAUCCCCUGCCGUCUCCACACCGUCCGUGACCUCGGACAUUGGUUCUUGUGGUUAUUGGCCAAUGGUAGGCUGGCGGGCGGCGGGCGCUCGCGCCGUUCUUCGCCGACUCGGCGCGGCAGCCACGGAGAAGCAGGGUGGCCGUGCGUUGGCGGUCAGCUAUAGCAGCAGCUGCCGCAGCAGUAGCGCGAGUGCUCCAUUUGGAUUGGGCCAGUGCGCAAGUUUGUUGAGAGCACACACUUCUACCUCCCGGGGAAUUCCAACGAACUUCUAUCAGCUGCUCCACAAUGCUGUAAU